rnacentral:rRNA from 1 species
CUCCGUGACCCUCCCGGCCUCCUUGCCCCCCCGGGCGGGCCGGCGCCCGCCGGAGGAUAACCAAACUCUGAUUUAACGACGUUUCUUCUGAGUGGUACAAGCAAAUAAUCAAAACUUUUAACAACGGAUCUCUUGGUUCUGGCAUCGAUGAAGAACGCAGCGAAAUGCGAUAAGUAAUGUGAAUUGCAGAAUUCAGUGAAUCAUCGAAUCUUUGAACGCACAUUGCGCCCGCCAGCAUUCUGGCGGGCAUGCCUGUUCGAGCGUCAUUUCAACCCUCAAGCUCUGCUUGGUGUUGGGGCCCUACAGCCGAUGUAGGCCCUCAAAGGUAGUGGCGGACCCUCCCGGAGCCUCCUUUGCGUAGUAACUUUACGUCUCGCACUGGGAUCCGGAGGGACUCUUGCCGUAAAACCCCCCAAUUUUCCAAAGGUUGACCUCGGAUCAGGUAGGAAUACCCGCUGAACUUAAGCAUAUCAAUAAGCGGAGGA